AGAGUUUGAUCAUGGCUCAGAUUGAACGCUGGCGGCAGGCCUAACACAUGCAAGUCGAACGGUAACAGGAAGAAGCUUGCUUCUUUGCUGACGAGUGGCGGACGGGUGAGUAAUGUCUGGGAAACUGCCUGAUGGAGGGGGAUAACUACUGGAAACGGUAGCUAAUACCGCAUAACGUCGCAAGACCAAAGAGGGGGACCUUCGGGCCUCUUGCCAUCGGAUGUGCCCAGAUGGGAUUAGCUAGUAGGUGGGGUAACGGCUCACCUAGGCGACGAUCCCCAGCUGGUCUGUGAGGAUGACCAGCCACACUGGAACUGAGACACGGUCCAGACUCCUACGGGAGGCAGCAGUGGGGAAUAUUGCACAAUGGGCGCAAGCCUGAUGCAGCCAUGCCGCGUGUAUGAAGAAGGCCUUCGGGUUGUAAAGUACUUUCAGCGGGGAGGAAGGGAGUAAAGUUAAUACCUUUGCUCAUUGACGUUACCCGCAGAAGAAGCACCGGCUAACUCCGUGCCAGCAGCCGCGGUAAUACGGAGGGUGCAAGCGUUAAUCGGAAUUACUGGGCGUAAAGCGCACGCAGGCGGUUUGUUAAGUCAGAUGUGAAAUCCCCGGGCUCAACCUGGGAACUGCAUCUGAUACUGGCAAGCUUGAGUCUCGUAGAGGGGGGUAGAAUUCCAGGUGUAGCGGUGAAAUGCGUAGAGAUCUGGAGGAAUACCGGUGGCGAAGGCGGCCCCCUGGACGAAGACUGACGCUCAGGUGCGAAAGCGUGGGGAGCAAACAGGAUUAGAUACCCUGGUAGUCCACGCCGUAAACGAUGUCGACUUGGAGGUUGUGCCCUUGAGGCGUGGCUUCCGGAGCUAACGCGUUAAGUCGACCGCCUGGGGAGUACGGCCGCAAGGUUAAAACUCAAAUGAAUUGACGGGGGCCCGCACAAGCGGUAGAGCAUGUGGUUUAAUUCGAUGCAACGCGAAGAACCUUACCUGGUCUUGACAUCCACGGAAGUUUUCAGAGAUGAGAAUGUGCCUUCGGGAACCGUGAGACAGGUGCUGCAUGGCUGUCGUCAGCUCGUGUUGUGAAAUGUUGGGUUAAGUCCCGCAACGAGCGCAACCCUUAUCCUUUGUUGCCAGCGGUCCGGCUGGGAACUCAAAGGAGACUGCCAGUGAUAAACUGGAGGAAGGUGGGGAUGACGUCAAGUCAUCAUGCCCCUUACGACCAGGGCUACACACGUGCUACAAUGGCGCAUACAAAGAGAAGCGACCUCGCGAGAGCAAGCGGACCUCAUAAAGUGCGUCGUAGUCCGGAUUGGAGUCUGCAACUCGACUCCAUGAAGUCGGAAUCGCUAGUAAUCGUGGAUCAGAAUGCCACGGUGAAUACGUUCCCGGGCCUUGUACACACCGCCCGUCACACCAUGGGAGUGGGAUGCAAAAGAAGUAGGUAGCUUAACCUUCGGGAGGGCGCUUACCACUUUGUGAUUCAUGACUGGGGUGAAGUCGAAACAAGGUA
rnacentral:rRNA from 1 species